GUUAUGCUCAGGAGACUUCGCUGAACACAAAUAUUAGAGUUUCAAAACCGUAAAACAUAUCACAACAAUUAUAUUGUCAGUGUAAGUGCCAUUUUUACUGAUGAUAUUGUUGUAAUACAUUUUACUGUUUUGAAACACUAAUAUUUGUUUUCGGCGAAGUCUCCUGAGUAAAAC